rnacentral:rRNA from 1 species
GACGUAGGGUCCGAGCGUUGUCCGGAGUUACUGGGCGUAAAGGGCGCGUAGGCGGUUUCUUACGUUCCACGUGAAAGCCCCGGGCUCAACCUGGGAAUGGCAGUGGAUACUGGCAAGCUAGAGUGCGGUAGAGGGUAGUGGAAUUCCCGGUGUAGCGGUGAAAUGCGUAGAGAUCGGGAGGAACACCAGUGGCGAAGGCGGCUACCUGGACCAGCACUGACACUCAGGCACGAAAGCGUGGGGAGCAAACAGG